rnacentral:lncRNA from 7 species
CGAUCAGAAGCGAUUAGGCGACCUGAAAACACAAAAAAGCCGAAGCUCCGCGACCCCCUUGACCAUGGAGGCGAGGCACCGAUGCUAUCCCAAGUAUAUUGCGCCAGCGGGCGGGCAGAGGGAAGUGUGAUAGGGCGGGUGAGUCGCCGCCGCCCUUGUAGCGCAUGGAAGUCGUCGUCGAACCCUUGGGCACUGGCCUGGGCAGCCCACCCGAGCGUCUGGUACGCGGUGGAGGCAGUGGUGUGGCAGUGGGGUGAUCGGGGCUCCGACAAUUUCUCAUCGGAGCUCAGAACUCCUACCCGAGUUGUCGCUCGUCGGGGACCGGCUUCUCUGCAACGUCUUCGACGGUAAGGGCAUGGUAGCACGAUUUUUCGUCUCCUCUUAGUCGCGUAGCACCUAUCGGAAUAGGUCUUUGGGCACCGGAUCGCCAGAGCACCGUUCGCUGGUGAGGUUGCUGCCGUGGUGGGCCCUGUGCUAUCGCCAGGUUGGUCCUUUGGGGAAGAAGGGUUCCCUGUCAUCGAUCGCGAAGCGUGCGGUUCCGAUUAAAAAUAGAGUAACGUUUUGGUUAGGGAAAUAUGGACCCUACAUCUAAAUCUAAAUGGCACUGGGCGCUUGGGUUUGGGUGAUGGAUUCUACACCGUUGGAUCCAUCUU